rnacentral:rRNA from 1 species
CUUUAAGAAAGGAAUAACAGUUGGAAACGACUGCUAAUGCCCUAUAUGCCUUUAAUACAUAAGUAUGCAAGGGAAACGCUUUAGUGCUUAAGGAUGGGUCUGUAUGGUAUCAGCUUGUUGGUGAGGUAAUGGCUCACCAAGGCUAUGACGCCUAACUGGUUUGAGAGGAUGAUCAGUCACACUGGAACUGAGACACGGUCCAGACUCCUACGGGAGGCAGCAGUGGGGAAUAUUGCACAAUGGACGAAAGUCUGAUGCAGCAACGCCGCGUGGAGGAUGACACAUUUCGGUGCGUAAACUCCUUUUAUAUAGGAAGAUAAUGACGGUACUAUAGAAUAAGCACCGGCAACUCUG